UUGAGUGACAAUAGAAUUCAAUGGUUUGUCGAUCCACUGACAAAUUCUCAUUGAAUCCUGACAGGUUCUGAUCAC
rfam:Helianthus annuus linkage group 14, whole genome shotgun sequence.